GUACCGUAACUUCGGGAGAAGGUACGCUGUUGACGGUGAUGGGACUUGCUCCCUGAGCGGUUGACAGCCUCAGAAACCAGGCCGCUGCAACUGUUUAUUAAAAACAUAGCACUCUGCAAACACGAAAGUGGACGUAUAGGGUGUGAUGCCUGCCCGGUGCUGGAAGGUUAAUUGAUGGGGUUAGCAUAAGCGAAGCUCUUGAUCGAAGCCCCAGUAAACGGCGGCCGUAACUAUAACGGUCCUAAGGUAGCGAAAUUCCUUGUCGGGUAAGUUCCGACCUGCACGAAUGGCAUAAUGAUGGCGGCGCUGUCUCCAGCAGAGGCUCAGUGAAAUCGAAUUCGCCGUGAAGAUGCGGUGUACCCGCGGCUAGACGGAAAGACCCCGUGAACCUUUACUGCAGCUUGACAUUGAACUUUGACCUUACUUGUGUAGGAUAGGUGGGAGGCUUUGAAACUUGGACGCUAGUCCGAGUGGAGCCGUCCUUGAAAUACCACCCUGGUAAUGUUGAGGUUCUAACUCUGUCCCGUUAUCCGGGACGAGGACCAUGUCUGGUGGGUAGUUUGACUGGGGCGGUCUCCUCCUAAAGAGUAACGGAGGAGUACGAAGGUGCGCUCAGCGUGGUCGGAAAUCACGCGUAGAGUAUAAAGGCAAAAGCGCGCUUAACUGCGAGACCCACAAGUCGAGCAGGUACGAAAGUAGGUCUUAGUGAUCCGGUGGUUCUGUAUGGAAGGGCCAUCGCUCAACGGAUAAAAGGUACUCUGGGGAUAACAGGCUGAUACCGCCCAAGAGUUCAUAUCGACGGCGGUGUUUGGCACCUCGAUGUCGGCUCAUCUCAUCCUGGGGCUGAAGCAGGUCCCAAGGGUAUGGCUGUUCGCCAUUUAAAGAGGUACGCGAGCUGGGUUUAGAACGUCGUGAGACAGUUCGGUCCCUAUCUACCGUGGGCGCUGGAAAUUUGAGAGGAUCUGCUCCUAGUACGAGAGGACCAGAGUGGACGAACCUCUGGUGUACCGGUUGUGACGCCAGUCGCAUCGCCGGGUAGCUAUGUUCGGAAGGGAUAACCGCUGAAAGCAUCUAAGCGGGAAGCCUACCUCAAGAUAAGAUUUCCCCGAGGCUUUAUGCCUCCUAAAGAGCCGUUGAAGACUACGACGUUGAUAGGUUGGAUGUGGAAGCAUAGCGAUAUGUGAAGCUGACCAAUACUAAUUGCUCGUGAGGCUUGACUAU
rnacentral:rRNA from 1 species